rnacentral:rRNA from 1 species
GACGAACGCUGGCGGCGUGCUUAACACAUGCAAGUCGAACGCUGAGGCUCAGCGCUUGUUGGGUGGAUGAGUGGCGAACGGGUGAGUAACACGUGAGGAACAUGCACCCUUCUUUGGGAUAAAGCCCCGAAACGGCUGCUCAAACUGGAUAUUCUCUGUUGAUCCCAUUGGUGUUGGUGUGAAGGGAGUUUUUGGUGUGGGUUGGGCUCGCGGCCGGUCAGCGUGUUGGUGGUGGGAUGGCCUAACAAGGCUUUGACGGGUAUGCGGCCUGAGAGGGUGAGCGGUAACAUGGGCACUGACAUACGGCCCAGACGCCUCCGGGAGGGAGCAGUGGGCAAUAUGGCCCAAUGCGCGAAAGCCUGAUGCCGCGACGGUGAUUGAGGGCUGCAGGUCUUCGGGUUGUGAACCUCUUUCGCAAAUGGUCAAGCCGUAACAAUGGUCGUCGUGAGGGUAGUGAGUAAAGAAGCGCCGGCUAACUACGUG